UUAAUAUGUAAAGAUAGAACUUAACUAUCAAUACAUAAAUCUUUUUUUUUUACCAUUCCCCACUUUUAUUCCAGAUAUUCGAGACAGUUCUGAAAGGAAGUUUUUGCUGUUUUUUUCUUUUACAGGAAAUGUGGUAUGUGUCGUGUUUUUACAUAAAUCAAUUUUGUGAUAUGUGAUAUGUCACACCUUUAGUUACUACAUGGUCGGGUAUUUCAAUUAAAAUAGAUGGUGUUUAUGAAAAUGAUAUUUUUUUUAGUCUUGCGCUUGAUGGGUUUAUAGACAAUUUUUUAUGUUAUAAAUUACAGUUUGAUAUUUA
rnacentral:lncRNA from 1 species